rnacentral:rRNA from 1 species
GUUAGGAGGGAAACGAAUGCAGCUGAAGUGGCUCCGUAUCAGGUUCAGGGGGUGUCGGAGGAUGUUCCGGGUGGGGAUAGCUAGCGCGUCCCCAGUCGGAUAGACCGUCGACUUCCCUGCACUCCCGUGGGGAGCCGGCCAACAGCAGUUGCUUCUGGCCCAGAAGAUCGGGCGGGAGGUGCCUCUGCACUCGUGCAGAGAACGUAUAGCCGUCCGUUCGGAGGUCCGGAGGCGACUGAGGAGAGUCGUGAGUUUUCACGUGUGCAGCGCAGGCCCUUCUUGGGCCGGGUCGCCUCGGUCCGUUUGGAACCCGGCGGUGGGGACUGCUUGCAGUGUCUGCUGACGGUAAGUCUGCUCGGUCUGGGGGUC